rnacentral:lncRNA from 1 species
CGCCGAAGUCCUUCUCCCGUUUCUCCUGGCGCUGCUUCGACCUCUGUCGGUGGCAUCGGCUGCGUACCACCUAUUUCAUAUUGGACCAGAUUACGUGUUUCACAGGCCAACGAAAAGGGCGCAUUCACGGAAGACCUCCUUUGCUCUGAGUGUCCCACGCGUAGGCGCUCAUUUGCUUGUGGCGCCGUGCACCCGCUCAUCGACUCUUGAGGUGCCCGAGUCGCGUUGUGACGGAGUUGCGCAAGAGCGCGAGCGCAGAAAAGCUCAUCCUCCAAAAUCGACAGGAAAGAUAUCGCUGGAUUCCCCGAAUCUGCCAGAAAUCCAGGGACCUCAGUCAGAACGCGUCCUGAUCUCGACUUCUCGCACUCGGCAGUCCUCCCCGCUGCAGAGGGAGAGGCUUUUUCCCUGCCGGAGUGGGAAGUGCAAGAUUUCUCAGGGGCUCCAGAUUUGCAGAAGUCAGGGAUCGGAAUGGAUGAGUAUUUCACGGGCAGAUAAGAGAAAGCAGCCUUGCUCUCCAUCGGGGAAGGCUGUGUAUGUGACUGUCUCAUGGGACCUAGAAGCUGGCUGCCAGGAUGGUGGUCGUUGCAGCUUUCCGGAAGAGGCAAAGACGCAAUUCGUGUUUCGCAAUAAGUUGACACCGAAGUCUCCGUGAGACAUGGCUCCAUUGCUACAGAGGAGAAAGCGGGGCAAGGCGAUUCGACCGCUGCAUCGAGGUCAGACUGCGGCAGAGGGCUGUGAGGGAUGCUGUUACCGGCACUUGGGACUUGAGCGGCCGUUCUGCUGGAGAAUUCUGUCGGGCCAUGCGGCGCUUGCAGAAGGGAAUCUUCCCAGCUAUGGAGCUGCAGUUUAUGAGACGGUCGGCAACGGUCGUUUUCGCUUUUCGUGCUCUCCCUCUCCCGCUCGAAUGGCUGCUCGUGGGGAAUUCCACAUCCGGCAAGGUUCAGGUGACUAAGUUGCUCUUUAUCGUGUGAUGUGGGGGCCUCUUCGCGACGACUGAAAAGGACGCACACCUCGGCGGCCAACGACUCAUCAAGAAGCGCACCAGCUGCAGCAUCGGCAUCCUGUAGCGCAUCGUUUGCUUCUGCCAAUGCAGCAUCGACUUCUCCCAGGACAGCUCGAGUUUCGGCAGACUGAGAAGGCCAGGAUGACGAGUGCUCAUCGGAACGCUGGCCGCUUCGAUGGCCAGCACGCUCGUGAGAACCCUGAAGAGACACUGGGGUUGAUCCUUCGUCCGCUGUCGUGUCAUGUGCAUGCAACGCCUGCCCGUUCCGCAGACUUGAUGCUGUCGGUGAAGAUGCUACCUCUAGAGGAUCACAGAUCGGUGACUCUUCAACCGCCGCCCACUCAUGGAGCCGCAAACUAGGCACCAGCAGCUCACUGGAAGCCGCCGACAUGCCGAGACAAGCAGACUUGGAAAAGCAUUCUGAGUCAACACCACUCGGCGAAAACGCACGCGAUGCGGCUUCCGUGUCGGGUGCACCGAUAGUGGGAGUACAGGCCGCCGCGGAGACUGACGUCUUCAUGCGCUUGUCGUCCGUGUCUUGUUCGAUCGAUGACCAGGGGCUGACAGCAGUUGAUGUGCAUGAAGCCGUGCGGCUACGUUUAUCUAGUUGGUCACUCGAAGGACCACAUGGCGAGACGAGCGUAUGCUGCGAGGAACGGACGUCCGUCCCAAUCAUCCUGUCUAGACGACCCAACGACGCAUGCUGACCACUGCAGCGGCGUGAGCCGCGGCGCGCUUCAUCCAACGGGUUUUGCUUGUCUUCCCUUCGACACUGACGUUGGAGAGGCGACCUUACACGGCACUCUGACGGAGAAGGCGCGACAGGUGCUUCAGGUACGCUGUUCGUCGCUCGACGGAAAGUGCCCGACAGAGACAGCUCUUCAUUCGCGGGGACACCGGGCGACGCCGGCACCUGUGGUGCCGCUACAGGCUCACAGAAGGGUAGCCGAAGAGGCAUUGACAUCUCGGCAGAGGAGAGAGGCGCGUCUGAAGGCUCAGUUGUGCUAGAAUGGGCGGUCCAGGAAGGCAGUAACUCCAGCGAUGUAGACGCCAACGGCUCGAGGCUUGGCGAGCGUAGAGGUCUUGGAGCAGAGGUCACGGCGACGGAUAUUUCCCUUUCCUUCGCUUCAGGGAAGAAAGUUUCAUCAUGAAUUACUUCAGGGCUCACAGCUGCACUGCUACACUGCUGAUCGGUUUCCGCAGAAGCACACGGAGCAGAGACGACUGUGUCUUCCAAUAUAUCGCGAAUGGGCAGUUGAGCCAAACACGUCGCUGGCGGGGAAGAAAAAGACAUUCCAGAAGCUGGAGAGCUUCCCGAGUAGCACACACAUGUUACACCGGCGGAAGCAACACCGUGCUUUGGCUGUACCCCCUGCUGUCGUGCAGUUGUUCCAUCGCUAUGGGCGCUGAUGUCGCGGGGGGUUCCCCGUUCGAUUGUUGCUGCUUCUGGCGCAUCCCGGACCGAUGGUGAUAGCCGUAUUUUGCUGCGCAUUUUGGGUCCGUCUGAAGCCGCGUAACACGGUUCUAUGUGAUCCGGAGGGCUGGUUGACCCGUUGCAUACCUCACCAGACAGUGAUGGAGAGACUGAGGGCGAUGGACUUGUUGAACGACGUGAGAACUCAACCGAGUCGCUGGAUACAGGGAACGCGGACUGCGUCGCCGUCGGAUUUGGAGGAGACUGGACUCUUGCGUCAGUCGCCUCCGCAAAAGCAGGAAGUGGCAGAGACGGAGGCGUGGCUGUUUUGUCACUUGGAUAUUCGGGAAAUACCGGAACUCGAGACGGGGUGCUUCCGCGCUCUCCGAGGAUCUGCCGGAGACGUUGCCGCGGAUCUUGAGUAGCCUGUUCGAUGAGCCUGUGUUGCCGGAGAUGACGCAGCUGACCGGAAAAGUGAGGACACACGCAGGAUGACGAGUCAGGCCAUCUCCGUGUCCGAGGCAAACAACGGAUACACAAUACAAGGGAAAGCCCUAUGCCUAAUGCGGACCAGGCGAUUCGAAAUAUGUACGCUGUCGUUUUUACCGGCUUUUGACCUCUUACCAGGUCGAGCUUCCUGCUCCGAUAAAUAGAUAUUAACUCGCUUCCAAAUUCCAGCCGCUUGCGUCGCACAAUCUGUUCACCGCAGAUUCAUCGCAGAUAUCAAGCGUAACACGAUCCGGCUAGUCGAGGUAGUAGGCCAAAGUUCCCGCGACGAGCACUGCCUUACAGCCCAGAGGGUCGUCAAAGUCGAAGUGCAUGCGGAGGUUCAUUCGGCACAAAGCAAACUAGGGAACGUGCAUGGUAAAACCCCGUAGGCGUGGCAACAUGCGUGUGUUUCCCUUGCAACGGCAUGCACCACAGAAGUGUCUGACUGCCUGUUGCAAGACGUCAGUCGUGAAGUAUUGGGAUAAGGGGGUUGUGAACGUGACUUACUCGUGCCAGCAAGCGCCCCAAUACGCGGCACGAGGCAGCCUUCAUCUCCACCACUGUGGUAAUACUUGCCGUUGACAUAGAUGAUCUCCUCGGUUUCGCGGUAGUGUCCUUUUUCGCCUUCGUCUCCACGGAAGGUUGCGCCUCUGCCAGCGCCUCAGUGACGCUGUUUUGGCACCUGGUGGCCUCACCAUGCGGUGACAACUCUCUUUUUCCUCUUCCUGCCACAUUCCUAGUGUCCGAGGUUCUCGAGUUGGUGAUACCUAUUCGUGGUUGAAGCACUUCAAUGGGUCCUUGUUCCAGCCGCUGUGACAGCUGGACGCUAUUUCUGUCGUGCGUCAUCCCCUCUACACAAACUCCCGACUGGCGCUGUUGUGCUUUCGCUGAAGGCUUCAAAGAUUUGCGAAAGGUUACUGAAGGCUGAGAAUGACGCGCAGAAGCUUUGUUUCGAGGGGGAAGAACUUGAGUGCUAUGAAGCGAUCCUGUUUCUGGCUUUUUACUGGCCGCG